rnacentral:rRNA from 1 species
GGGGGGAGGGUCUAAAUGCAGUCGAGCGGAACGAGUUAUCUGAACCUUCGGGGAACGAUAACGGCGUCGAGCGGCGGACGGGUGAGUAAUGCCUAGGAAAUUGCCCUGAUGUGGGGGAUAACCAUUGGAAACGAUGGCUAAUACCGCAUGAUGCCUACGGGCCAAAGAGGGGGACCUUCGGGCCUCUCGCGUCAGGAUAUGCCUAGGUGGGAUUAGCUAGUUGGUGAGGUAAGGGCUCACCAAGGCGACGAUCCCUAGCUGGUCUGAGAGGAUGAUCAGCCACACUGGAACUGAGACACGGUCCAGACUCCUACGGGAGGCAGCAGUGGGGAAUAUUGCACAAUGGGCGCAAGCCUGAUGCAGCCAUGCCGCGUGUGUGAAGAAGGCCUUCGGGUUGUAAAGCACUUUCAGUCGUGAGGAAGGUAGUGUAGUUAAUAGCUGCAUUAUUUGACGUUAGCGACAGAAGAAGCACCGGCUAACUCCGUGCCAGCAGCCGCGGUAAUACGGAGGGUGCGAGCGUUAAUCGGAAUUACUGGGCGUAAAGCGCAUGCAGGUGGUUUGUUAAGUCAGAUGUGAAAGCCCGGGGCUCAACCUCGGAAUUGCAUUUGAAACUGGCAGACUAGAGUACUGUAGAGGGGGGUAGAAUUUCAGGUGUAGCGGUGAAAUGCGUAGAGAUCUGAAGGAAUACCGGUGGCGAAGGCGGCCCCCUGGACAGAUACUGACACUCAGAUGCGAAAGCGUGGGGAGCAAACAGGAUUAGAUACCCUGGUAGUCCACGCCGUAAACGAUGUCUACUUGGAGGUUGUGGCCUUGAGCCGUGGCUUUCGGAGCUAACGCGUUAAGUAGACCGCCUGGGGAGUACGGUCGCAAGAUUAAAACUCAAAUGAAUUGACGGGGG